rnacentral:lncRNA from 1 species
CCCAGCAGUGGGCAGCACCGGAACGGGCCAGGCCAACAGCAGCUCUUGGGCUCGGAGGUGCUUGAACGCCUCUGGCACCCUGGAGCAGGUCCUGACCUGGAAAGGAGCAGCUCUGUGGCCUGGCUGAGGAGGGGUCAGUGGGGCUGGAAAUGGAAGUUACAUUUCUAGUGGGGACAUUUCUCUUUUCACAGGUAAGGCUGACCAGACAUGGGUGUGUGCGGGGUCCCCUUCUCCCAGCGAGCUGCUCCCUGGUCCUACUUCAGGGUGUGGGGACGCGGCCCCUGCUGAGCAGUCUGCAGGCGAUGAGCUAUCCCGGGAGCUGGCGCGCGUGAAGAGCGAGCUGGAGCGCGUGAAGAGCGAGCUGGCCGACAGAGCUGCCCAGUGCGAAGCCUAUCGGCGGACCGUCGCCUGCCUGCGGGCUCGGCUCAGAGCGGCAGGUACGUUCCCCCGCUGGCGAUGCUCUGCUGAUCCGGUGUCACCGAGCGCUGCCGGACAAGAGGGCUAAAGCGGGUGGCAGGUGCUGAAGGCAGAGGAGCAGCCGUGCUUCGAUGCUGCGGUUGUUCCCCAGGAGCGUGGCCGGAUGAUGCAGCGGGGGACGAGACCGGGGUCUCGGGGAGGGACUGACACCUGGCACGCGGGGACAGCCGCGCCGCAGCGGCUUGUCCAGGCGCCUGAGCGAGCUGCUGUGGGCCAGUGACAGUUGUGGAGCUGCUGCAUGAAUGAAACUUUUAAAUUCCUUAUAUUUAAAAUAAAGGUCUCUUUUUGCAGCGUGGCUUGCUCUCU